rnacentral:rRNA from 1 species
GCUGGGUAGCUAUGUGUGGACGGGAUAAGUGCUGAAAGCAUCUAAGCAUGAAGCCCCCCUCAAGAUGAGAUUUCCCAACUUCGGUUAUAAGAUCCCUCAAAGAUGAUGAGGUUAAUAGGUUCGAGGUGGAAGCAUGGUGACAUGUGGAGCUGACGAAUACUAAUCGAUCGAAGACUUAAUCAA